UACGGAGGGUGCAAGCGUUAAUCGGAAUUACUGGGCGUAAAGCGUGCGUAGGCGGUUUUUUAAGUCAGAUGUGAAAGCCCUGGGCUUAACCUGGGAACUGCAUUUGAUACUGGGGAACUAGAGUUGAGUAGAGGAGAGUGGAAUUUCAGGUGUAGCGGUGAAAUGCGUAGAGAUCUGAAGGAACACCAGUGGCGAAGGCGGCUCUCUGGACUCAAACUGACGCUGAGGUACGAAAGCGUGGGUAGCAAACAGG
rnacentral:ncRNA from 2 species